UACCUACAAAAGAAGCACCGGCUAACUAUGUGCCAGCAGCCGCGGUAAUACAUAGGGUGCAAGCGUUGUCCGGAAUUAUUGGGCGUAAAGAGCUCGUAGGUCGUUUGUUACGUCGGAUGUGAAAACCUGAGGCUCAACCUCAGGCCUGCAUUCGAUACGGGCAAACUAGAGUUUGGUAGGGGAGACUGGAAUUCCUGGUGUAGCGGUGGAAUGCGCAGAUAUCAGGAGGAACACCAAUGGCGAAGGCAGGUCUCUGGGCCAAUACUGACACUGAGGAGCGAAAGUCUGGGGAGCGAACAGGAUUAGAUACCCUGGUAGU
rnacentral:rRNA from 1 species